rnacentral:rRNA from 2 species
AGUAGGGAAUUUUCCGCAAUGAGCGAAAGCUUGACGGAGCGACACAGCGUGCAGGAUGAAGGUCUUCGGAUUGUAAACUGCUGUUGUAAGGGAAGAAAAAAUUUAAUAGGAAAUGAUUAAAUCUUGACGGUACCUUAUUAGAAAGUGACGGCUAACUAUGUGCCAGCAGCCGCGGUAAUACAUAGGUCACAAGCGUUAUCCGGAAUUAUUGGGCGUAAAGAGUUUGUAGGCGGUUUAUCAAGUCUAGAGUUAAAGCCUGAGGCUCAACCUCAGUCCGCUCUGGAUACUGGUUAACUAGAGUUAUAUAGAGGUAAACGGAAUUCUUAGUGAAGCGGUGGAAUGCGUAGAUAUUAGGAAGAACACCAACGGCGAAGGCAGUUUACUGGAUAUACACUGACGCUCAAGAACGAAAGCGUGGGGAGCAAACAGGAUUAGAUACCCUGGUAGUCCACGCCGUAAACGAUGAUCAUUAGUCGCUAGGGAACUUAGUGACGCAGCUAACGCAUUAAAUGAUCCGCCUGAGUAGUAUGCUCGCAAGAGUGAAA